UAUACAUUUAAAACAAAUCUCUAAAAAAGUUAAAAAAAAUGCCCCUAAACAUCAAAUGUUGCCCCUUAGUAAAAAGUCAAGUUUUAAUAUCACUAUCUGUGUCCCAUUUUGUCUCUCUGUCUUAUUGCAGAGCACAUGGUCUUGUUGAGGCAGGAUGAGUGUGUUAUCAGGACUAACAAGAGAGUGAAAGAGGGUAAUUGUGUACAAGUGACUACACACAGGUGUCUUCACCCUCCCAGUGUUGAGUUGGCACAGGCCCUCGCUGACAGCUGGGAACAGCAAAUUCAGGAGGAUAUCAAGAACUUGAGAGUGAUAAGACACCUAAACUUAAUGCCAAGUCUCAUUUUUGAGGUUUUGUAUUCCCUGAAGAUCAGCUUAAUACCUAAAGGGGUGCUGGUUCCUCCAACUUGUCCAUGUGGAAACACGAUUGGAACAACUUUUUCAGUAAAUCUGCAUCUGUGAGCUGAGGUGAUCAAACCCAACACAUAUGGCAGCCAUGCUGCGGUGAUGCUCGCAGUAUCAUUAGUCUGGCACUCCUACAGUGAAAUCUGCAGGUGGAAAAUUGCACUCUCUCUCUCUCCUAUGAUAAAGCUGUUGCCUGCACACUGGGAAAGUGAAAUCCAUCAUGCGACGGAAAGGGUUUAUUCCACCAUUCCGCCCCAUUGAGGCCCGUAACACGAACAUUGCCACCGCACUGUAAACCAGUUACCACAGGCUGUGUGAAGCGUACAUCAUGUUCUGUGUACAAGGAACUCAGUCUGUGCCAUGCAUCACUCAAGAACAUUCCCCUUAUUCCAGCGAAGUUCACACUACCCUCUGCCAACUGGCUAGCCAACCUCUCCACAUGUUCUCCAAAAGCUUCUUCACAACACCUGUGAUGAAAGAUGUGUCUCCCAGCUCCAAACAGAGAUGUUCUGACUGCGUAUCUGAUUUCACUAUUGCUGUGUUGACUGCAGAUGGGUGAGUAAUGUUUUGACAAGCAACCACAACACUGAUAUUUGUAGUUGCACAGAUGCAGUCUUGCAACGCUGCAAUUACUUUUUCGUUACGUCGUUUUUGUUAUUUGACAAACGGUGUUAGCAAAAAUGCUCAGCACAGCUUGUGGCAAUCAAAGAUUUUGAGAUUUUUCUUCAGACAUUUUGCACUACCAAUGGGACCAACUGGACACGAGCAACUUAAUUGACAAAACACACACACGGCUCACAUUCCCACAGAGAAGCAAAGUUGUGUGAUUCCUUCACAGUGUCCGUAUCAGCCAUUACGACAUACAAAGGACCUUCAUCCCUGCAGAUGGAAGUUUCUGUGUUUAAACAUUCACAGCCUAGCCUGAAAAGAGUCACAUAAUUCCAGCAAAUUGGACACAGUGAUUAGUGCAGGGAGAGAGAGAGAGAGAAAAAACAGAGCCCAUUCAUAACUUCAGCGGUCGGGAGAAACGCAAUUAUUCCCAGAGGGUUUGACAAAGGGUGAGAAUUUAUGCCGCAAAAGUAAUUUUAUGUUUGUUUUCUUUAUUUGCAAGACAUUUGCACAGAUCCAUCAAACUGUCGUGCCUUGUGCAUAAAUUCAGGAAAUGUCUUUCAGUUCAUUUGAAAAAAAAUAGCGAGAGAAAAACAUUGGCCGCGUAGUUUAUUUCUUUAUUUUUUCCUGUCUUGUAGAAAGUUGACACCCAUCCAGAGUGUUUUAGCUCAAGUAAAGACACUUCUUAACAUUUUCUAUUUAUUCCACUCAUUUUGUGUUCAUUUUAACUGUCCGAACUCCCAAUACUUUUUAAACACACUUGUUGUUCAUGCAGACAUACUGUAAACGGACGAGUAAUCUGUCACAUGCUGUUAUUCCUAGCAAAUAAUGUUGCAGUUAUUGUUUUCUUGUGCCAUUUUAAAUUGAGGGCCCUUCCCUUUCUAAAAGAUGGCUUUAUGACCAGGCUUGUUUUCCGAACUGUGUGUCGCAUUCCCAAGAAUCCUGGCAACUCUUUUGGAUGGAUGGGAAUCCUCGUGGAUAUAACAAAGGAUGAAUAGCAGUGUAGAAGGGUGUGAGAGUG